AGAUUGAACGCUGGCGGCAUGCUUUACACAUGCAAGUCGAACGGUAACAGGCCGCAAGGUGCUGACGAGUGGCGAACGGGUGAGUAAUGUAUCGGAACGUGCCCAGUCGUGGGGGAUAACGCAGCGAAAGCUGCGCUAAUACCGCAUACGAUCUAUGGAUGAAAGCGGGGGACCGUAAGGCCUCGCGCGAUUGGAGCGGCCGAUAUCAGAUUAGGUAGUUGGUGGGGUAAAGGCUCACCAAGCCAACGAUCUGUAGCUGGUCUGAGAGGACGACCAGCCACACUGGGACUGAGACACGGCCCAGACUCCUACGGGAGCAGCAGUGGGGAAUUUUGGACAA
rnacentral:rRNA from 1 species